rnacentral:rRNA from 1 species
CAGGGCGUCAUAGAGGGUGAGAAUCCCGUAUGUGACCGGCGACCAACCCCAUGUGAAACCCCUUCGACGAGUCGAGUUGUUUGGGAAUGCAGCUCAAAAUGGGUGGUAAAUUUCAUCUAAAGCUAAAUACCGGCCAGAGACCGAUAGCGCACAAGUAGAGUGAUCGAAAGAUGAAAAGCACUUUGGAAAGAGAGUCAAACAGUACGUGAAAUUGUUGAAAGGGAAGCGCUGGCAACCAGACCUGUCCGCGGGCUUCAGCCCUCGUUCUCGAGGGUGUACUUGUCCGCGAUCAGGCCAGCAUCGGUUCGGGCGGUUGGAUAAAGGCCUUGGGAAUGUAGCUUCCCCCGGGAAGUCUUAUAGCCCUUGGCGCAAUGCGACCAGCCCGGACCGAGGACCGCGCUUCGGCUAGGAUGCUGGCGUAAUGGUUGUCAGCGACCCGUCUUGAAACACGGACCAAGGAGUUGACCACUUAUGCGAGUGUUUGGGUGUCAAACCCAUACGCGUAAUGAAAGUGAACGGAGGUGAGAACCCUUAAGGGCGCAUCAUCGACCGAUCCAGAUGUCUUCGGAUGGAUUUGAGUACGAGCAUAAUUGGUCUGACCCGAAAGAUGGUGAACUAUACUUGAAUAGGGUGAAGCCAGAGGAAACUCUGGUGGAGGCUCGCAGCGGUUCUGACGUGCAAAUCGAUCGUCAAAUUUGGGUAUAGGGGCGAAAGACUAAUCGAACCAUUCUCGAACGCUACUAGGUGGUUAAUCAGGGGCGGCCCGGAGCGUAUCCCUGGGCGCGAACCCUCAGUCCUUCGGGGCGACACUACCAUCUGCAUGGACGUCCCGCGGGUCUCCCGCGGGACUGAUAUGCUGCGGGCCUACCCUUUCCGAGGGGACAGGCACCGUACACAGACCAAAUGGUGGUGGCCAGAUCCAAGCUCUGGUUCAGAUAUGGCCGAGUCCCGCUCGAAGAACGAGCGGAUCCAACGCUAGUAGCUGGUUCCUGCCGAAGUUUCCCUCAGGAUAGCAGUAACGUUUUCAGUUUUAUGAGGUAAAGCGAAUGAUUAGAGGCCUUGGGGUUGAAACAACCUUAACCUAUUCUCAAACUUUAAAUAUGUAAGAAGUCCUUGUUACUUA